rnacentral:rRNA from 1 species
UACGAAGGGGGCAAGCGUUGUUCGGAUUUACUGGGCGUAAAGCGCACGUAGGCGGCUUUCUAAGUCGGGGGUGAAAUCCUGGAGCUCAACUCCAGAACUGCCUUCGAUACUGGAGAGCUUGAGUCCGGGAGAGGUGAGUGGAACUGCGAGUGUAGAGGUGAAAUUCGUAGAUAUUCGCAAGAACACCAGUGGCGAAGGCGGCUCACUGGCCCGGUACUGACGCUGAGGUGCGAAAGCGUGGGGGGCAAACAGG